rnacentral:rRNA from 1 species
GGGCCUCCCUCGCUCGGUCGCACGCGCGCGGUGGCCGGCCCUGGACGGCGCGGCGUGCUUCGCGAGGCUAUGCAUCGGGGCGGAUCUGGCCGUCUGGCCACAUCAGCGGUGCGGUGGCGCUGGGCUGGGGCGGCGGCCCCAGGCAGCGGCGCGUCGUCCUCCCCUCAUCCUCGCGGUCGAGUGGCGUGGUGGCGUGCCGUUUGGCGGUGGAUCGGGGUUUCGGGCCCAGAUCCGGUUGUCGCGGGCCGUCGGCGGGAUGCGGCGGCAUUGGCUGCUCUGGCCCGCGCGGGCGGCAGGGCGGCUGCGCGUGGUGGGGACCGGCGGCUCUGGUCGGCUGCGGGUGGAUCUGGAGCGGCCGCUCCUGACCUGCUUCUCCUGCUGGACGGCGCUGCUCGGCCGGGCCGGCGUUCUGGUGAGGUUCUUGUGGUGUGCUUCGGCCGGCGUGGUGCCGAUUUGAGCUGUUGGAUUUCCUGGGCGGUGGCCUCUGCGUGGUGCGGGUGGUCCUGCCAGCGGAUGUGUUCGGCGGCGCUACUUCCUCCCAAGUCCGGUUCGUUGAUGGAUGGCGAUGUUGGACUCCGGGACGGCGGCCCCAGGACGGUGGUUGAUGUGUCGGUGGCCGUGGAGUUCGUGCGGGCGACGCGGCGGCCGCGGUGUGCUUGGUGGAGGGAGGCUCGUCUCUCGCAGCUCGGCAGCGAGGCGUGGUGGUGGUCCCUGAGUGGCGAUGGCGCGGUUGCUGCGCAGGGGUGCGCGGGUCAGUGGAGGUGCUGGUUGGCGUCGGUCAACCGCGUGGGAGUGGUGGUGUUGCUGAUUCGGGCGAAAGCUUGGCCGGUGCUAGCUGGCCGUCGGCGGCGGCGCUCGUGGGCGUCGCUUUCUUCCUUGGAGGCGCCAUCGUGGUGAUCUGUGCAUCCUCAUCUCUCGGGUCAAGAUCUCUGGGCGAAAGUCAGGAUCCUUGUUGGAUCAAGCGGCGUCGUCGUCUCGAACGUCGGUUUCCCUCUUGGGGGCGCCGUUUUGGAGAUCUUGGUCCCUUUUGUGCUUCCUGCAGGCUGGACGUGCACGGCAUCGCGGUCAGCAGGUGCCCGACUGGCGGUGAGGUUUGUUUGGCGUUGCGACGCGUGUGGCAACGACGAUGGUGGCGAGCAAAGCCGAGUCGCGGCUUGUCCUUUUAAUGUCGAAGGUCCGGUGCGCCAAUGGGUGUGCCAAUGCUGGUUUCUGACUGUGACAGAGAAGUCGGCGCUGUGGGAGGCGAGGCCGCUGCGGCAACGAUGACUCCAUGAGGGCGGUUUUCAGCGUGCGGUGCUCUCUGGAUGUUGCGCUAGACUAGGUCGGUGCGAGGCUUGCAACUUUCUUCUCUGAAGCUCGUCAGCAAAAUCGGAGCUGCCAUGUCCUCGACGUUGCGGUCGACUGUUUGGCGUUGUUGUAGCCAGGUCGUCCGCGUGUGCCCCUUGUGGGGUUUGUAUCUAGGUUUUCGCCUGGUUUUCCUUUAAUUAACCGGGCAACUCUCUUCUUCUUAAUCAAUGAAAAUGGCAAAUCUUUUGCCUCGUUUCAAAAAAAAAA